GUCGAGCGGUCACCAAUUUGUAGCAAUACAGAUGAAGUGAUAGCGGCAGACGGGUGAGUAACACGUAGGCAAUCUACCUUUCCGUCCGGGAUAACUAGCCGAAAGGUUAGCUAAUACCAGAUGCGACCACUAGGCGGCAUCGCUUGGUGUUGAAAGCAGCAAUGCGCGGAUUGAGGAGCCUGCGGCCCAUUAGCUAGUUGGUGAGGUAAUGGCCCACCAAGGCGACGAUGGGUAGCUGGUCUGAGAGGACGACCAGCCACACUGGGACUGAGACACGGCCCAGACUCCUACGGGAGGCAGCAGUGAGGAAUUUUCCGCAAUGGGCGAAAGCCUGACGGAGCGACGCCGCGUGCACGAGGAAGGUCUUCGGAUCGUAAAGUGCUGUCGAGGGGGACGAUUAUGACGGUACCCCUGGAGGAAGCCCCGGCUAACUACGUGCCAGCAGCCGCGGUAAGACGUAGGGGGCGAGCGUUGUUCGGAAUUACUGGGCGUAAAGCGUGCGUAGGCGGAUUCGUAAGUCGAGGUUGAAAUAUCCGGGCUCAACUCGGGGCACGGCCUUGAUACUGCGGACCUUGAGGCGAGUAGAGGGUAAUGGAAUUCCCGGUGUAGCGGUGAAAUGCGUAGACAUCGGGAGGAACACCAGUGGCGAAGGCGGUUACCUGGGCUCG
rnacentral:rRNA from 1 species